rnacentral:rRNA from 1 species
UACGAAGGGGGCUAGCGUUGCUCGGAAUUACUGGGCGUAAAGGGCGCGUAGGCGGAUAGUUUAGUCAGAGGUGAAAGCCCAGGGCUCAACCUUGGAAUUGCCUUUGAUACUGGCUAUCUUGAGUAUGGGAGAGGUGUGUGGAACUCCGAGUGUAGAGGUGAAAUUCGUAGAUAUUCGGAAGAACACCAGUGGCGAAGGCGACACACUGGCCCAUUACUGACGCUGAGGCUCGAAAGCGUGGGGAGCAAACAGG